CGGGUUGGGCUCCGCGCCUUCCCCUGGCGCGGUGCCCGGGAGGUGGCGGGAUGAUGCACGUCCGGCGCAGGACGUGCGCGGGGCGGGGUGUGCGGUGGCGGUGCGGCUACGGCGCCGCGGCCAUGCCCGCCGGCGUGCCUUGGCCCACCUACGUGAAGACGCUGGCGGCCAGCCUGCUUGCCAUGUUCGCGGGCGCCGAGGUCGUGCACAGGUACUACCGGCCCGACCUGAGCAUACCUGAAGUACCUCCUAAGCCUGGAGAGCUGCAAACGGAACUGUUGGGUCUAAAAGCAAAAUCAAGUGACGUUCAGACUUCACAACAGUGAGCAGACUUUACUUACACUAUGAAAACCAGAACUGAUAAAAUCUUUGUUCAACUGCCUCAACUGCAGAAAUCUGUAUAUGAAAUACUGUACUCCUUUAUUGCUUCUUUUUGUUCCCCUUAAGCAGUUACAGGCAGUGUUAAAAAUAAAUGUACAGCAAAUACUGUUGUUACAAGUCCGAUCAGUUGUGUGCCAAAAUGCUUAUCAUAUCUUGACUGCAGUGAAAUUUACUUUGGUCUGUAUGGCUGGGGAGGAUCUUACAGCGUGGUUGUGUUAGUUAAAAUGGAGUGAAUACAUACAGAUUACACUGAAAUUGUGUACAUUUGUACUCCACUGGGACAUCUUUCUUCAUUUACGACUGACUUUGAUAGCUGUAAAUAUACAAAACUCUGAAAUAACAAGUGCAGGUUUACAUUUCAGUCCCAAAAUAGGAUUGCCACAUAACUCCCACACCAGGUACUCAAGAAGACACACAGAAGCAUACAUACGAGGAUACACAGUCAUACAAGGAUGGUACAACAAGCUGUGUUUGAAUGGUAUGCAUUAGAGCUGCUGAAGGAUGGGGAUUGCUUUCCCUUGAGAAACGCA